ACGUGUCUGUGUGUGUGCGUGUGUCUGGGCGUGUGCGUGUGUCUGGGCGUGCGCGUGUCUGUGUGUGUGCGUGCGCUUGUCAAAUGAGCAGACAUCGAUACAAACAAAUGAAAUCCAGAAGUUUAAAGUUCAAAGUUUAUCAAAUGCACCGAAAUAACACAGCAUCAUCCUGCACAAUGAAAUGAAAUGGAAAAAAAAAGCGAUUUAUUGGAGAUGAUACACGGACUGUAUUGUAAGGAUGAUUUCUACUUAGAGAUGUAAAAAAACACAUGACAACUCAAAAACAUACUCAAAAGGCAAAGCCUUAUAACAGUUCCAACCAAUACAAGCUGCCAUUUAUGGUAAAUUUUUUUAUUUUACUCUGCAAAAAAGGCUGAAAACUAUCCCUGAAACCGUUGUGUAGCACCAGCUCUCUAAUAAUGUUUUGCAGCUUCAAGAAAAGUAUUAACUCCGCCAGAGUGUCUCCAUUUGGGUCACUUUUGCCGGUCCCAAGCCCGAUUAAAGGAGGAGGGUUGGAAUUGUGACAUUUAAAAAAACAAGAAUUGACCAAAGAAAGUUCAUUUGUAAUUCUAAACAAUUUUUUUUUACUCACUCUUUGUCUACGUUAUUCUUCUCUCCUACAGCGUCCAUCACAAUUACAUGCACAUGGCCAAAUAUGCAGAUUAGGUGAUGACAUCAUUUAGUGACUUUUAGGACAGCCACUGGCACAUUUCCUUACUGAGGAAUUGGCAACACUGCUUUCGCACUUGCAAUGCAGCUUUGCGGAAGUGGUAUGAACUGUUUCCAUUCAUGAAUUUGUACGAUGCUAAUAACGCUUAUUACAGACUGGGACAGAGCUGAAUGAUGGAUUGUUUGUAUGAGUGCCUUCUGGAUUAUCUUUGAGGAAAACAUUUUGGACAAACACUAUGCCUUUAACCCUGCUACUCUUUUGCCUACAGAUGAUGUUAAUGCCCCUCACGACUUUGCUGCCAUCUGUCCCGAAUAAAAAAUGUGGCUCCUGAAGAUUCGGUAUUGAUCAGCUGCCAGGUGAGGGGUGGCUGGUUGGGCUGCAACAUUUCUCUGGUGUCGGGGAUGUGCACGAGAACCAGAACCAGAGAACACCCAGCCCGAGCAGUGGUGCCAGGAGACCAGGUCUACAUCAGGGUCUUCAGGAGGAGGCGGAACGAGGCGAGACAGCGAUACAAGUAGAGGGCAGCAAUACCUGAUACCACCUCAACCACUGCACCAAGGUCCCACGAGGCGCAGAGGAGAGACCACAUGAGAAAAGUGAAGAUGCUGACGUUCCAAGCAGGGACGAGCUAGAAGAGGAAGGUGCAGGACUACCCCUGGGGGCAGCCGAGGAACCUGCUACACCGAGGUCGGCGGAGGAACCGGAGUCUCCUGUAGAGGUGUACGGAUGGUGACGGUCAGUCUGCUGUUGGCUUAGGGAUAUGGCUGUUGCCAUCAGCCCAAGGAGAGAUGGUACAGGAGAUGAAGGAGGAGCACCUCCUAUCGAUGACUCCACUGGGCCAGAAAGCCCGGGAGGAGCCCCCACUGAAACCAACGAAAGACCAGGUCUCUCUGCCGUCAAAGAGGAAUUCUCCACCAUCAACUUGGGCUGGGAAUGACAUGACGACGCCCCCUACUGAUGGUAAUGACUCAGACACUGACUUAGACAGGAGGAAUGAGGUAUGCACAGCAGCGCUAUUAGACAGGAGGAAUGAGGUAUGCACAGCAGCGCUAUUAGACAGGAGGAAUGAGGUAUGCACAGCAGCGCUAUUAGCAGGGGUAAUGCCAUUCCCGUUAAGAACUAUAGGGAUAAGGGUACUAGUUCCCAUGGACACAGAUGAUCUUGGACAUCGUAACCAGACCGCUUGGCUCCCAAUAAUAAGAGAAGGACAAUUAGAGCUUGUGGUGAGAAAAGGGUAUGCGGGACCACUGGUAGAGUAAAAGUAGAAUUUGUGAGACAUUUAGUGUUUUGCAGGCAACAGGAAUGCAGUGUGAAUAUGGGGCCAGAUGUAAACAAAACACAAGCUAAACAGAUGUUUGACGAGGAAGCCCCCCAUGCAGCUAUAGUGGAGUACAGUACGGUAGAGAGGCUAGGAGAAACAUGGGAUAGAGAAAUAGAUAGUGAGGAAAUGGAUGCUUUCAUCCCACGGAAAGAGCCAAGGGAGAAAACUAUUAAGAAGGGUAAGAAGGGCUAUACACCUGAUCCAGAAGUUGUCGUUGAUGCAAUAGGUCAACCACGGGGGAUUCCCAAUGAGUUUAAAGCGAGAAGUGAGAUCAGUGCAGGUUUUGAAUCCCAUUGUCCCGUGGAUAGCACCGGCUAAAAACACUGAGUGGAUUAAUGACAUAUAUUAUAAUCAGCAGCGAUUCAUCAAUUACACAGAUGCAGCUUUAACAGCCCUAGGAGAACAGCUUUGGGCUACAAGUAAGAUGACAUGGCAAAACAGGCAAGCUCUUGAUUGGAUCUUAGCAGAAAAGGGAGGUGUUUGUGUUAUGUUUGGUGAGCAGUGCUGUACUUUUAUCCCUAACAAUACUGCCCCCUAUGGUUCAUUCACUCAAUCUAUGAACAAGCUAAAACGGUCGAGACAGGAAGUAAAAGGCAACGCAGGGAGAGAUGCUCACACUUGGGACUGGCUUGAGUCCUCAUUAAGACAGUGGCGCGCUAUUUUAACUAAGGUAGGCGUAGUAAUUGGGAUAGUACUGGUAGUCGUAGCUCUGAUAGCAUGCUGUGUAGUCCCUCUCCUCGAAUAAUUUUUGACAAGGACAGUAGCUUCCCAAAUGCCUCUGCGAGCCAUAGGACAGGGCUCAGCUGACGACUCGCAGGUUACUCCACGUCCUGGCUAUCCUGGCCAGUAUGUGGACAGGUGUGGACACCUGUGUAAUAUGAAAGGGGGGCCCUGGACUGUCCCUAUGGAAACCCAGAAUGUGAAUGGUCAUUCAAACCAGGCGCUGGAUGGGCCUGUAAGGAUUAUCAGCGGAAGACUGCAGGAGUCAAUGUGGCUGUGGUAACACCGAUGAGGGGAGCGGACACAGACGGUUAUUAUGUUGGAAUGGAUGUUAAUGUGGAGGUGAACAUGGACGGUAACUACUUGGACGGUACUGAGACGGACAGCGCUCAAACGGACAGAGAUCCUUCGGCCCCAGUGUUGAGUGAGGGUUAUUAAGCACCACCGUUUGUCCCUAUAAGUCGUUUCAUUGCAAAUACUGCAGCAAAGGAUUUCACAGAGUGAUCGACGGACAAGUAUUCACUGAUGGACAUGAUUAUUAUCCAGAGCCUUAUGAUUGUGCCUUGUGCCAAAGGGGGGAGUGUCGUUUGUGUGCUGAAUUGGAUUGUUCUCUACUGUUACUGAACUGUUGGCUGGUAGCCGACCUUGUACAAAGAGAGUUUUGCUUGGAGAAUUCUAUGGUUUAUUAUUUUCCUUAUAUUUUUAUACUCUUUUGAGUGAAGUGAUUAUCAUUCAAAUUAUGUAUGAUUUGUUUUAUAUGCAAUUAAUAUUCAUUGUAUUAUCAUUUAUAUUCCAUUAAUUAUGUAAACAUUUGAAACAACAUAUUUUGCAAUGCCCAGAAAGAAAAUCUGCACAUGCUUACACACACACACACACACUUGUUUGAUUGGUUAGGCUGAAGGUCUUUUACUUCCUCUCAGCCAAAUGUUGAGGAAGAGGUUUGGCUUUCAGCCUCUGGCGUGGUGGUUGACAAUGGAGUUUGUUUUAAGUAAUUGGGUUGAUUUCAACUCUUAUGGAAGUUGAGUACUCGUUCUCACCUACCAUGUCCAGGACUAGAUUAUGGGACUUUAAAGUCCCAAAGGGGGGAUGUAUGGUAGAUUUUGAUAUAUACUCAUGUAAUCAAUGAAUGUAUCAAUAUGUUAAUCACACUCAUGCAACUAAUCAGUAUGGUAAUUUGUAUAAUCACCAAUAUACAAUGUGUGUCCUACAUAAUCACCAAUAUAUAUUGUAUGUGUCCUACAAUGGAUGUAAUCAGAGCACCGUUGGAUGUACUAGACUUGAGGGCCUGACGGCCCUGUUACUUUAUGGGGUUUUCAAGGCCUUCACCACCAAUAUUUAACAAUGAUGGUUUGUUGGGUGAAUUCCUGAAUAAUAAGAAAUAACGGUGGCGGAUCAAAGAAGAUCCGCCCGAAGAAUUAGCAUAAUGGGAUGGCCAGGUGGUGUUAUACAAGAUUGUACUGUAUAAAAUUGAGUGUCCGAGGCUGGUAAAGGCAGUUGUUCUGCAGACCAACUCUGCUUUUUUGAAUCUUCAUUAAAGUCUGUUUUGGAUUCACAAGUUCCUGAGUCCUUGCAUCCUUUUUUGUCUGGAAAUCUGAAGUAUUUCCCACGACAAUAUUCAUCUUGUAAAGACGGCAUUUGUUCCUUAUCCCUUCCUGCCCCCUGUCAUGUUCACCCAAAUGGGCCAAUUGCCCCUACUUCCCCCAAGGGCCACAAGAACAUUAUAAAUACCCUUUCAAGACUGCUGGCCACAAAGAACAGACACCCUGAUGGUUUGGGCAGAUUAACAAAUGGUCAGAGGACCCAUUGUUCUACUGAUAACAUGCAAGAAUGUGUGCCACAACAAUUGAACAAAGACCUCUCCUCACACCUGGCAUUCCCCAUCCUGUCUAAACACUGACUCUGUAAUUUACAACCAGCUCACUAUUAACAGUUUUAAUAGUGAAUUCUUUACAAUUCAACUUGUUAUUGCAGAGAAAACAACAGAGGAACACUUAUGGGACUCUCCAAAUGCACUGAUUCUUUGAGUUUUUCCUAUGGUUGCUUGUUUUUUCUUAGCCUGUUUCACACGGUUCCCUUACUUAAUCUCUCCCUGACACUGACAACAAGUCCACACUUGGGUUUAUCCUGGAGUUGCCACAUCGGUAUGCGUCAAACCCAGAAGGGCCCAGUGUAGUGAGUCAAUGACCGACACAGGCAUAUGAUUGGUAUGCGAUUAUAUGAAGGAUCAUGAAAAAUAAGACCAGGGGGGCGAAAACUGUAACAAAACCAGGAGGACAUGAGGUAU